GACGAACGCUGGCGGCGUGCUUAACACAUGCAAGUCGAACGGAAAGGCCCUGCUUUUGUGGGGUGCUCGAGUGGCGAACGGGUGAGUAACACGUGAGUAACCUGCCCUUGACUUUGGGAUAACUUCAGGAAACUGGGGCUAAUACCGGAUAGGAGCUCCUGCUGCAUGGGGGGGGUUGGAAAGUUUCGGCGGUGGGGGAUGGACUCGCGGCUUAUCAGCUUGUUGGUGGGGUAGUGGCUUACCAAGGCUUUGACGGGUAGCCGGCCUGAGAGGGGGACCGGCCACAUUGGGACUGAGAUACGGCCCAGACUCCUACGGGAGGCAGCAGUGGGGAAUAUUGCACAAUGGGCGGAAGCCUGAUGCAGCAACGCCGCGUGCGGGAUGACGGCCUUCGGGUUGUAAACCGCUUUCGCCUGUGACGAAGCGUGAGUGACGGUAAUGGGUAAAGAAGCACCGGCUAACUACGUG
rnacentral:rRNA from 1 species